rnacentral:sRNA from 1 species
UUUCACUACAAGAAUAUGGAGCAUUUGUAGUGUCCGAAAACCGCUAUUUAAUUAUACUAUAGCGUUAUUAGAAGCGUUCUAUCAUCGUCCGUCAUAAUAGGUCAGAUACAUAUUGUAGCGCUUUUUUGUUCUGCUAUCAUUAUUUCAUUAAUUACAUCGCUUUAUCUGCUGCAAUCUUUAAUUGUUUAAUAGCGAUUAGUUUCUGAUAUUAAUAACUAUU